rnacentral:misc_RNA from 1 species
UCUCCGUUGGUGAACCAGCGGAGGGAUCAUUACAGGACUCGCAAGACUCCUACAACCCUGUGAACUUAACUAUAAGCACGUUGCUUCGGCGGGUGUCUCGGAGGGGGUUCUCCCUCCCCGAGACGCUAAACCCGCCGGCAGCCUACUACACUCUGUCUCUUUGCGUUGGCAUCUCGAGUACAAUCAAACAAGUUAAAACUUUCAACAACGGAUCUCUUGGUUCUG